AUGUCAUUUGCCAUUUUUCUUUCUCUUUCCAGGACCCAGCUGAAAUGCAAUCAGGUGGCACUCUGGAACAGUUGUUUUCAAAAGCAUAUCCACCAAAGAGGGUGGAUCCUCAAUAAGGAGAUGCUUAAAGCCAUCUCUGGUGGCGCAGGUGUACUGCAACAACGUCAGAGCGAUCAAAAAAUUGAAUCUGCCCUUGCUGAGUGGUGAAGCUAUUGCUGCUACAGCUCCUGGGAACUGAGGAGCGGGGCAGGUGCGCGAUAGGGACCGCACACUUGUGCAGCUAAAUCACAGCGCUGGCAGUUAUCAGGGCCAUAACACACUGGCAGGGGAAUGCGAGCGGCGGGUGCCAGCUCUCAGGCUGGGUGCUGCCAAGCUGAAGCAGUGGCAGUUAUCAGGUUUAGAACACACCGGGUCAGUGGCAGCUGUGGGCAAAAGUGGGCGUGGUCAGUGCUAUAGGUGUGGGUGGGGUGGAUAUCUCACUACAUAUUUAAUGUAAUGAAUAGGUUUUCCCAGAAUUGUAAAAUCAAAUUCCAUGAGUUUGGCAUUGUGCUCAGGGCAGAAAUGCAAGGAAAUCGACAUGGGUUUUGCAGAUUUAUCCACAGAUUAGUUUUUCUCACACCCAACUCAUAACUGGGCAGGCUGUGACUAAGAAUUCCUGUUCAUUUUCCUUGAUGAUCAUGAGGAUUUGGGUAAAAAAAUAAUUUAUAUUUGAAAAUAAGUUAAUGCACAACUUUUUGGUCAGUGAUUGAAAGACAUGGAUUACUAAUAUCAUAGGUUCUUGGGCAUGGGUUUUCUAGUUUACAUUUUGCAUCUUCUCACAUAUUUUUCAAGGACUCUCUGCAUACACACACAAAGACACACAACUGUCAUCUUCUAAAGCAAUCUAUUUUAUGUAGCAGGAGAAUAAUACCCUGGUAAAUUAAGCUGUCAUUAACUCCAUAGGUAUCUCCUACAUUUUCAGAACACACAGUGCUGCUGUAGCAAGGACUUAACAGUGCAGCAAGCCCAGCUGCUUCAGUUCUCAGAGGAAGAAACUCAGGUCAAGAGAGGUUAAGCAGUGACUUUGUCUCCUGACUCAGUCUUAAGAUUGUACUCACUAUAGCUGUUCUUUCUGUACCACACUACGAGGAAUAUGAAUCACAGUUUGAAAUAUAUGAUUUAAAAAUACCUUUACUGCACCUUCAAAGCUUAGUGGCGUUUUUUUUUU
rnacentral:lncRNA from 1 species